GAGGCGGCAGCGCUGCGACCCCGGGACACCGGUGCCGGCGGCCUGGAAGGAACGGUAGCGGGGGCUGGCGAGGAAUAGCCGCCGCAGGGGAAACACCAUGAAAUCUCCCUAUAUUCUCUAUAAUCUGAAUCUUAGGAUACAUUGAUGAUUAGUAUUUAAAGCAACUGCACAUGGAGACAUGCCACGUCUAUGGCCCCCAAGAGGGAGGAUGAUCUCUCGAGAGAACGUGUCAGGUGUCGGAUCCUCUGCUCCAGCACAACUGCGUCACGUGCUAGAAAGGUGGGAAGCAGACGGGCACUGCUCCAGGUUUCCAGGUUCUUCUGCAGUUUGUUUCCUGCUGUUCCAGGUAGGAAGAGUAACGGCAGAAUUCUACCAAGCUGAUGUUCUUCACCUUGCUGUCCAGGCCAAGGCCUGCCGUGGUGCACAGCCAACUGACAGCACUGGCUCCAGGCCUGCUGAGACUUCUGUGAAGUAACGUGACCUGCUAUUAGUCCAAUAUCUGAAAAGGCUAAGUCUGGAUUGCUUCUGUGAAGUGCAGUGUUAAACAUGAUUGGAGACAUUCUAGAAUAUUUCCAUUUUCUCCUUAAUAUUGUGAUGUUGAAAAACUACCAGAUAAUAUUGAGCAUGGAAACAAAGCCCCGGAACUGCGCUCCUCAGCUCUGAACCCCUUCCUGUCUUGUGAGUGUUGGUGGUGGGCAGACCCUCCUGCAAAGGCUGAGACAAGAGCCACUUUCCCAGCUUUCCUGGCCACUCGGGUGUGGGCUUCAGCAGGAGCCCAGCCUGUGAGGCUGGAUUGGAGCUGGUGAAGGCAGAGAGGCUGCCCCGAGCCUCAGGAGCGGUGUUUGCUGGCCUGCCAGGACCUGUCAGUGUGGAUUUUCAGCCUGUUCUCAGCUGUGAUCCUGGCUAUUCCCUGUCGUGGUUUUCCUGCACUAUUCUACAUCCUUUUUGGAAAUUUCGUGAGCUACUCAGAGUCUUUUCGGUACAUUAUUUUUCUCUUAGAGCAUUCAGAACCUGUGCUGUGUACAAUCAAGAACUUACCUUUCCAAAUCUCUUUGUAGCCAGACUCAGUGGCAUAUGCCUGUAAUCCCAGUGGCUCAGGAGGCUGAGGCAGGAGGAUCACAAGUUCAAAGCCAGCCUCAGCAAUUUAGUGAUGCCCUAAGCAACUUAGUGAGACUCUGUCUCUUUAUAAAAUAUAAAAAAGGGCUGGGGACGUGAGUUAGUGGUUAAGUGUCCCUGGGUUCAAUCCACAGGACAAAAAAAAAAUCUCUUUUUAAAACUAUAGCUUCUUUAAAGACUAGCAAAAGAAUAGGGUAUCAAAAGCAGCCACAAAUGAAAACGCCUAGUAGAAACAAUUUGAUAGUGUAGAGUGACAGAACAGAGCUGUAAGGAGAAUUUUCAGUGUUUUGUUUUUUUGUGUGUAGAAUCCUUCCAGGCUGAUGUGGUCCAAUGGAAGGAAGAUGUAAAUUAACAUGUGAGCAACUUUGUGUCUGGCAAGGUCUUCGGAAGGGAGGUUUUCUUUUCUUUCUUUCUUUUUUUAAACUAAGCAGUUUUGGCAGUGAGCAGUAGAGAAGUUUUCCUCUUGGAAAGCAGCAGAUAGCUUUAUCUGCUUCAGGUACUUGGCAGAGUCGAGGAGCAAAACCUAGCACAUCAUUUAUAUUGAAGGAUGGUAAUCUGUUCCCAAAAUAAAUAUUCUUAAUAACUAAUAGAAAACUAUUGGCUGGGGUGGAUCCCAGAGGCAGAGUGCUUGCCCAGCAUGUGUAAGGCCCCGUUUGAUCCCUAGCACCACCACAGAGAGAAGACCAGUUGAUACCACUUCAAUCAGCUGACCAGGUCAGCAUCACCAGUGGAAGGACGAACUGACGAGGGCACCGUGUGGCACUCUGGCAUUCUUAGCAGUGACGGGGCCGUGCUUCUGCUCUGUCGUAGAGCAGAAGGGCACGUGUGGUGGGCUCCGCAGGACAAGGGGCAGCUGACCAGUUCUCUUAGGUUGAAAGCUCACAAAGAUAGGACCACAGGUAGAAAGAGACUCGGAGACGGAAGACCAGUGCAAUAUGGGAUCCUGGGCACUCCUGCAACCGAAACAGGAUGUGGUCAAGACGGCGGUAACAUCCGAGGGAACCUUGUGGUUUCUCUUGACCAGUGUUGGUGUCUGUGGGUGAGCACAGCCGUGCUGUGAGGCUCCUGGUGAAAGAUCAGGGAGCUCGGUCCUGCCGAGACUCUCCUAGCCAACAGCAACCUGGUCUUGUUGGACCCUGUCAUGUUGUACAUCAGCUGGGAGUGGACGUCUUCCUGGCCCUGUGUCUUCUGAUCUCUGGCAUUUCAUUUGUAGACAUUCAGUGGAAGUAAUUUUUAGAUUAGUUUUUAUGUGAAAAUAACUGUUGUUAGUAAUAGAAAAUUGAGAAAUGUAAAUAAGUGAAGUGAAAGGAGGAAAUGCACCACUAGUUACCCACCAGUUGUGUACGGUGAUUUUUCGUUGUUGUUUCUUGGUGGUACUGAGGAUCAAAGGCAGGGCCUCGUGCAUUCUAGGCAGGCUUUCUGCCACUGAGCUACAUUCCCAGCCCCUGUGGUAAUGUUUUGAGUCUCAGUACACAGGCACUUUUAAAAAAAUGCUGAUAUUUUAUAUCUUAGUUCUUCACGUAUAACAAGUAUUUUCCCAUGCACCACAGACUUUUUAGAAGCAGCUUUAGUAGUUGUAUCACAUCAUUUCCUGAUGUAAGCAAUACUAUGAAAGACAUUUUUGAAGAUGAUGUUUUGUACAUGCUCAGGACUCCCAUAUUCUGCCAGGUCAAGGGGGUGGUGUCCGGUGCCUGUUGCCCGUCUACCCCACUAGCAACCACUGAAAUACUUCUGUUCUAUUUAUUCUCUCGUCAGCCAUUUGUCAAGACAAGAUCAUUUACUUAUGUUUCUAUGUUGCCCAAGUUCUACAUCAUUUGUUCUUUGCCUAAGAAUGGGUGGAGCUGGUUGGAAUUUUAAGCAUUUGGCCUGGGAGGAAGGAGGGGUUGCCAGAGGGCCUUCCCACCACAGACCCUUGCACCCAGAGGGCUGGCCCUUUUCCUUCUCUUCCGUUUUCCUGACCAUCCGCCUCAGGAGCAUUGGCUUUUGAUUAGUUAAUGAUGCACAGGUAACUGCCUUGACUGGCAGGGCAGGACAGUUUUGAUAUGUGUUGGGGACGUAUAGCAAGUUUCCAAGUGGAUGUGUGCUGAUGCACGGAGAAGAGCAAGCCUCCUGUCUGUGCUGGCUGCAGGCUGCGGGGCAGCUCGGAAUGAGCUCAGUGCAGGUGGCACUUGUUGCCUCACUGGGUCAGGACCCUCCAGCCAGGACAUGCGUGGCCUCGGCUGUGAAGCCUGCACGGUGCUGUCACUCUGGCCUCUGUCCCUGCUUAUGGCAAAAGGAUAUUUAAGGACCAAGGUGGAGACAGCAAGACUGCAGCAAAGUGUUUCCAACUGGAAACUCCUUGGCUGAAGAGCCAGCGUCUCCUUGCCUCUUAGGUCAUCUAGGCAGAGAGAGUAUGUCAUUCAUUUAAGAACCAACUUUUUAAAGGUUAGUCUACGUAAAAUAGAGAUACCCGUUUUAGCUGUGUAGGUCAGCGAGCUUUGACAGUUGGGUACGCCUGUGAAGCCAGCAGCCCACAGGCGACGUCAGAUGCUUCCUUCACACAGAGGUGCCCUGUGCCCUGGAGCAUGGCCCCGCCCGUCCACCAGUCACUGCAGAGCAGUCUGUCCUACACAGAACCUGGUGUAGGACACAGUAAGACUCAUUAGAAGAACACAGUAAGAUGGUGCACUGUCUGUGUGGGCACCCACACACGUCGCUCCUGGCCCUCCUGUGUCUCUGGCUCCAUUUUCCUGUGCUAUAAGGAAGCCCCUCAGCCCUUCUCCAUGUGGGUCUGGUGGAGGUCAUUCUUCAUUCUUCAGCACAUCUGACUGUUGGUGAUCUGCCUCCAUUCAGGAGUACGUGAUCAGUUGAAUGUUCAUGAAUACAGCACUUCAGUUAUGCCUGGGCUUCUCCUGGGGAGCUAGUUUGCAGUGUGCAGGCUGUUCCUCUCUCCUGUCCUGAUGGGGCUUCUGGUGUAAGAAGUUUUGUACUUUGAACUCAGAACAGCCCCCAGGAAUUAGGAUUAUUAUCUCCACUUGAAAAAUAAAAACCAUGGUUGGGAGAAUUAAGCAAUUUGCCUGGGGCACACAGCCCUUGCAGAACUGGUUCCUGGGUCUUCCACCUUCAGAGGCCCAGCCUGAGGCCAGUGUGGACCUCCUCGUCACUGACCCUUGUCUUGAAAGCUCUGUCAACUCUUCAUGAUGGUGCAGACUCCUGGCGGUGCCCGCGGGGUGGUGCCAUCCCAGUUGACUCUGCAGCUGGCUGUGAUUCCUGUGUCGCUCGCCUGUCCUCCCUUGCUUCACCUCCAUGGACAUCUGCACCUGACUUUGCAGUGUGUGCUGCCACCCAAGGCAGGUGUGCAGGCCACAUGUGCUGGGUUUCCUGCACUGUCCCGUUUCUCCUGGAAACAUGGCCGUCUACCAUUCCUUCUCUCCCACGUCUUCACAUUCUUCCUUUCCUCCCUGGAUUAGCUUUAGUCCCUUCAAACUUGCUCUGCUUUCAUCAUCCUGGAGAAACCCCCUGCCUCUGCCAUGUCCAGUGGCCACUGCUGAAUCCUUCGGCUCUGUCCCUCUGCAGCUGCUCCGUUCUUUCCACUCUAUUCCUACUUCCCCUGAUCCUCCCUAUUCUAAUUGGCUCCGCUCUCUGGGCACUGGAUGUGCACCACUCAGGUAAAGCUCUGCCUUGGGAAGCCUGGUGAAUGAGGCCCUGGAACACCAGAGGUGGCGAGGGCUGCGCGGUAGGAAGAAGCCCUGUGCAGGUCGGGGUACGACCUUUGACCUUCACAUUCCAGGAUGCCUUGCGAUUAAAGCACAGAAAUGGGGGCUGGUUAGUGCUUGGACCUAAUGACCAGACUAACCACUGGCUCUGGAGCAGACGGCUGCCCGAACCUCAUUAUGCAAUAGAUGAACUAAAAAUGGUUUUAAGAUUAAAAAAAAUUUUUUUUAGUUAUA